AUUGAACGCUGGCGGCAUGCUUUACACAUGCAAGUCGAACGGUAACAGGUUAAGCUGACGAGUGGCGAACGGGUGAGUAAUGCAUCGGAACGUGCCCGAUCGUGGGGGAUAACGCAGAGAAAGCUGCUCUAAAACCGCAUCCGACCUGAGGAGGAAAGCGGGGGACGGUAAGGCCUCGCGCGAUCGGAGCGGCCGAUGUCAGAUUAGGUAGUUGGUGGGGUAAAGGCCCACCAAGCCGACGAUCUGUAGCUGGUCUGAGAGGACGACCAGCCACACUGGGACUGAGACACGGCCCAGACUCCUACGGGAGGCAGCAGUGGGGAAUUUUGGACGAUGGGCGAAAGCCUGAUCCAGCAAUGCCGCGUGCAGGAAGAAGGCCUUCGGGUUGUAAACUGCUUUUGCACGGAGCGAAAAGGUCCUUUCUAAUACAAGGGGCUCAUGACGGUACCGUAAGAAUAAGCACCGGCUAACUACGUGCCAGCCGCCGCCGUAA
rnacentral:rRNA from 1 species